GACGUAGGGCGCGAGCGUUGUCCGGAUUUAUUGGGCGUAAAGAGCUCGUAGGCGGCUCGUUGCGUCAACCGUGAAAACCCGGGGCUUAACUUCGGGCUUGCGGUUGAUACGGGCGGGCUGGAGUUCGGUAGGGGAGACUGGAAUUCCUGGUGUAGCGGUGAAAUGCGCAGAUAUCAGGAGGAACACCGGUGGCGAAGGCGGGUCUCCGGGCCGAUACUGACGCUGAGGAGCGAAAGCGUGGGGAGCGAACAGG
rnacentral:rRNA from 1 species